AAGGUCGAUGUGAAAAAGGUCGAUGUGAGUAUUUUUAAUUUUUUGGGUGUUGUUUUCUUUGUAGAGUGACCGGGAACCCCAAUUAGUGCACUGCGUCCUCUCACAUGGCUCACUCGCUUUGCUCGCCAUGCUUCAGGCACUGCAGGGAAGCAAUAUAUCUGACCUAUAUUUCUGUACUAGAAAAGAUGGGGAAAGGACUCCAUAUUCUGAUAUACUGCAGAGAUGAGGAAUACCCAUGGAUGGACAACACAGCACCCCUGGAUGAAAACCGCAUGGACAGAGCACUCCUGGAGGACAAAAGCAGCCUCAGUCCUUGAUGGACAAAACUGCAGCAUCCCUGGACAUACAACAUUGCAGCACCCCUGGGUGGACAACACAGCACCCCUGGAUGGACACAGCAUUGACAGAGUACCCCUAGUCAAAGCAGCCCUAGCCCCUUGAGAGACAACACUGCAGCACCCCUGGAUGGACAACACUGCAGCACCCCUGGAUGAACACAGCAUGGACAGAGCACCUUAUGUAGACAGAGGCCUUAGAUAGAAUCCAAAACCCACAAGCUGUACUCAGAUCCCCCCUCGGAUCGCAAUGUUUGGAUCCUCCUCUUUAGUUUAAAUCUAAUAUACACCAUUUAUUUUAAUAUAAUAUACACAAUCCAUACCUCCCAACAUGACACAUUCCUAG